GAGGAGCUUGCUCCUCUGACGUUAGCGGCGGACGGGUGAGUAACACGUGGAUAGCCUACCUAUAAGACUGGGAUAACUUCGGGAAACCGGAGCUAAUACCGGAUAAUAUAUUGAACCGCAUGGUUCAAUAGUGAAAGACGGUUUUGCUGUCACUUAUAGAUGGAUCCGCGCCGCAUUAGCUAGUUGGUAAGGUAACGGCUUACCAAGGCGACGAUGCGUAGCCGACCUGAGAGGGUGAUCGGCCACACUGGAACUGAGACACGGUCCAGACUCCUACGGGAGGCAGCAGUAGGGAAUCUUCCGCAAUGGGCGAAAGCCUGACGGAGCAACGCCGAGUGAGUGAUGAAGGUCUUCGGAUCGUAAAACUCUGUUAUUAGGGAAGAA
rnacentral:rRNA from 1 species